rnacentral:rRNA from 1 species
UACGUAGGGGGCUAGCGUUGUCCGGAUUUAUUGGGCGUAAAGAGCGUGUAGGCGGCCAUGUAGGUCCGGUGUGAAAACUCGAGGCUUAACCUCGAGAUGUCAUCGGAAACCAUUUGGCUAGAGUCCGGAAGAGGAGAGUGGAAUUCCUGGUGUAGCGGUGAAAUGCGCAGAUAUCAGGAAGAACACCAAUGGCGAAAGCAGCUCUCUGGGACAGUACUGACGCUGAGACGCGAAAGCGUGGGGAGCGAACAGG